GGAUUCUACCGUUGGUCGGACUAACAAGUCUGUGCUGGUGUGUAGAAUUUCUACCUUCUGGGGAACUAUCAUGUUAUUAAUUUAGCGUGGUGGGAAACCAGGACCUUUACCUUGAGAAAAUUAGAGUGUUCAAAGCAGGCCUUUGCCUGAAUACAUUAGCAUGGAAUAAUAGAAUAGGACGUGUGGUUCUAUUUUGUUGGUUUCUAGAGUCGCCGUA
rnacentral:rRNA from 1 species